rnacentral:rRNA from 1 species
AUUGAACGCUGGCGGCAGGCCUAACACAUGCAAGUCGAACGAGUGGCGGACGGGUGAGUAAUGUCUGGGAAACUGCCCGAUGGAGGGGGAUAACUACUGGAAACGGUAGCUAAUACCGCAUACCAUCGGAUGUGCCCAGAUGGGAUUAGCUAGUAGGUGGGGUAACGGCUCACCUAGGCGACGGUCCAUAACUGGUCUGAGGGGAUGACCAGCCAAACUGGAACGGCGGCACGGGCCAGACUCCUAGUGGAGGCAGCAGUGGGGAAGAUUGCACAAUGGGCGCAAGCCUGAUGCAGCCAUGCCGCGUGUAUGAAGAAGGCCUUCGGGUUGUAAAGUACUUUCAGCGAGGAGGCGUUACUCGCAGAAGAAGCACCGGCUAACUCCGUGCCAGCAGCCGCGGUAAUA